GCAGGAGGCUGUCUGUACCCCUCCUCUAUUGAACAGUUAGCUUCCCCUGCCCCGAUUCCUGUCUGCCUCGCAGGAAUGCCGUUACCAUGAGCUGUUUCUAAAGAGGAUCCCGGGAGGAAAGGAGAAAGCGUGUGAGCAAGAGUUUCUGCUUCCUCGGUUCGUGCGGGCGUGUACGUGUUGCUGGGUGGCAUGACUCACCGCGCAGCCCAAUGAAGUAAAUGGGGAUGUGCGAGCUCCCAAAGCCAGCACAAAGUAUUUCCCUUAAAUAGUGAUUCUGCACUUUAAUGACUCUGCAGAGCUAAAUUUAGAGGCGGAUCUAAGAUGUGCUUUCUAAAAAGCAGCGUUUCUUUACAACUGCUGUUCCCCCACACGCACGCUGCCGAGCCACGAUGCCUGCGUGCGCUCCUGCGAGUCUUGUGGCAGCGCUCAUACCUCUGCGUGGUGUGCACACAGAGAGGGCUUUUAUGGUGACUGACAGCGGAUCCUGUGGUUCCUGUUCACCGUUUCAGCAUUAUAUGCUGUCUCCUGCCGAGAGAAGAAAAGUUCCUGUUCCAGGCAGCAGAGGACAGUAACUCAUGACUUGCUAAUAUGAAUCAGUUUGCAGUUUUUUUUCUAACCUGUACUUUUUUUUUAACCUUUUAUUCUGCCUUGUGGCACAGCCACAUCCCUAAGCUAAAGGAUCGGUCGCCUAUAGUUUGUAUUUCCGCCACCUCUCCUCCCCUCUGUAUCCUCUGCUUCUGUUCCCCAGGGCUGUGGCAGAGCCCGGCAGGGUAGCAUGUCAGCCCUGGCUCCCUUCCUUCACAGAUUUGGCCUCAGUGCUGACUCAACACGCGUUCCACAUUUAAAGGGGACGAAGUCUACUUUAUACAGCACGUGUGAUACCGGCUUUUAACCCCUGAAACACCGUUCCUCUGUGGAUUGCCUCACAAAACCACACCUGCUGUUUUUCACAAGAGUUGUUAAGGAAAGGGACUACGAGGAGUACCAGCGCGUGUGGACUGACCUCCCACGUAACAUCACUUCGCUGAUAGUCCUUGUCAAGGAGAAGCCCAGUUCCUGACUCCGUGCAAGAAGAACACUCGUUGUGCCUCUCUCUCUGCAACACCCUUUUUAAAGCUGCUAUAAUCUCUUCCCACAAUUGGAGGACUGUUGUAAGCUAAAAAUUAAUAUCAAAUAUGCUUCAUAGACCAAUUAAAAAUUUUGACUUUCUUCUGGA